AAGAUUUAGAUGCACUACUGUUCCACUGGAUGUCAUAAGGUGAAUGCACCAACUUGUAAGUCGCUCUGGAUAAGAGCGUCUGCUAAAUGACUUAAAUGUAAAUGUCUUAAAUGUAAGCAUUUAUUUGGGCUGCAAUUUCUGAGGCUGGUAACUCUAAUGAACUAAUACUCUGCAGCAGAGGUAACUCUGGGUCUUCCUUUCCUGUGGCGGUCCUCAUGAGAGCCAGUUUCAUCAUAGCACUUGAUGGUUUUUGCAACUGCACUUGAAGAAACUUUUAAAGUUCUUGAAAUUUUCCGGAUUGACUGACCUUCAUGUCUUCAAGUAAUGAUGGACUGUCAUUUCUCUUGGCUUAUUUGAGCUGUUCUUACUAUAAUAUGGACUUGGUCUUUUACUAAAUAGGGCUAUUUUCUGUAUACCACCCCUACCAUGUCACCACACAACUGAUUGGCUUAAAUUCAUUAAGGAAAGACAUUCCACAAAUCAACUUUUAACAAGGCACACCUGUUAAUUGAAAUGCAUUCCAGGUGACUACCUCAUGAGGCUGGUUGAGAGAAUGCCAAGAGUGAGGCAAGGCAAAGGGUGGCUACUUGAAAAUAUAUUUUAAUUUGUUUAACACUUUUUUGGUUACUACAUGAUUUCAUAGUUUUGAUGUCUUUACUAUUAUUCUACAAUGUAGAAAAUAGUUUUUAAAAAAUGAAAACCCCUUGAAUGAUUGUUGUCCAAACUUUUGACUGGUACUGUACGUUUUUCCAACAGUACACUAUGAUCGAUAAUGUCAAAAGCCUCCCUGAAGUCUAACAAAACAUCUUACACAGUCUUUUAUCAAUUUCUCUCAUCAAAUCAGUCAUUUGUGUAAGGGCCAUGCAUGUUGAAUGCCCUUCUCUAUAAGCGUGCUUAAAGUCUUAAUUUAUUUUCUGUAAAAUACCUUUGUAUCUGCUCAAAAAACUGUUUUACAAAAGUUUCUUAAGGUUGGUGACAGGCUGAUUGGUCGGCUAGUUGAGCCACUAAAGGGUGCUUUACUAUUCCUAUGUAACUUUAGCUUCCCUCCAGGCCCGAUGGUACACACUUUUUUAGUAACCUUAGAUUGAGGAGUUGGAAAGUAGGAGUGGCAAUAUCGUCCGCUAUUAUCCUGUCAUUUUCCAUCCAAGUUGUUCAUAUACAACAGUUUUUUCACCUCUUCCACACUCACUUUACAGAUUUCUAAAUUACAAUUUUUUUUUUUUUCACCUUUAUUUAAAACCAGGUAGGCAAGUUGAGAACAAAUUCUCAUUUACAAUUGCGACCUGGCCAAGAUAAAUGUAACGCUCGUCUGAAGAAGAGGACCAAAGCGCAACGUGGUACGUGUUCAUGAUUAUUUACUCAACCUGAACACUGAAACAAAAUAACAACGUGGAACAAAAUGAAACAGUUCUGUCUGGUGCAGAACCAAAACAACUACCCACAAAACAACAGGUGGGAAAAAGCUGCCUAAGUAUGAUUCUCAAUCAGAGACAACGAUAGACAGCUGCCUCUGAUUGAGAACCACACCCGGCCAAACACAAAUAAAUAGAAAACAUAGAAAUAAAAAAACUAGAAUGUCCACCCUAGUCACACCCUGGCCUAACCAAAAUAGAGAAUAAAAACCUCUAUGGCCAGGGCAUGACAAUAAAGCAAAGCAGUUCGACACAAACAACAACACAGAGUUACACAUGGAGUAAAACAAACAUACAGUCAAUAAUACAGUAGAAAAAUAAGUCUAUAUACGAUGUGAGCAAAUGAGGUGAGAUAAGGGAGGUAAAGGCAAAAAAGGCCAUGCUGGCGAAGUAAAUACAAUAUAGCAAGUAAAACACUGGAAUGGUAGAUUUGCAGUGGAAGAAUGUGCAAAGUAGAAAUAAAAAUAAUGGUGUGCAAAGGAGCAAAAUAAAUAAAUCGGUAGGAUAGUACGUUUUACAAGGGUAUGUUUGGCAGCAUGAGUGAAGGAUGCUUUGUUGCGAAAUAGGAAGCCAAUUCUAGAUUUAACUUUGGAAUGGAGAUGUUUGAUGUGAGUCUGGAAGGAGAGUUUACAGUCUAACCAGACACCUAGGUAUUUGUAGUUGUCCACAUAUUCUAAGUCAGAAUCAAUCAGUCACAAUGCUUGUCUUUCAUAAUUUGAUCUGUUAGGGCGGCAGGGUAGCCUAGUGGUUAGAGCGUUGGACUAGUAACCGGAAGGUUGAGAGUUCAAACCCCCCGAGCUGACAAGGUACAAAUCUGUCGUUCUGCCCCUGAACAGGCAGUUAACCCACUGUUCCCAGGCUGUCAUUGAAAAUAAGAAUAUGUUCUUAACUGACUUGCCUGGUUAAAAAAAUAAUAAUAAUAAUAAUAAUAAUACUUUGAUGUGUAGGUCUCGAGUUUGUUGUUCUCGUGUAGGUCUCGAGUUUGUUGUUCUCGUGUAGGUCUCGAGUUUGCUACUCUUGCCAAUGAAAAAAAUAUUGAAUUAGUUGGCAAUAUCAGUGGGUUUUGAGAAUGAGCCAUCUUAUUUAAUGAAUGAUGGAGCUGAGUUUACCUCCAAAGCUUUUUACUAUCAUUCUUUAUAUAAUUUCGAUUUGUUUAAUAGUAUAGUUUCUUCUUCUUUUUGUUCUGUUUCGUCACAUGAUUUCUCAAUAUGUAGUAGGUUUGCCAAUUGGUUGUGGAGACAGACUUAUUUGCCAUUCCUUUUGCCUCAUCCCUCUCAACCAUACAUUUUUAAAUUCCUCAUCAAUCCACUGGGGUGUAAACACUUUUACAGUCAUUUUCUUAAUGGGUGAGUAAGUGGCGUAAGAGAUUUCAUAAAUGUGUCAAGUUCAGCAUCUGGUUGCUCCUCAUUACAUCAGGCAUAAGGGUCAACCUAAUUAUCCUAACCUGCUACGUUAAUUAUCUUAACCUGCUGCAUGAAUUCUUCUAAACUGCUUCCAGUCGUAGCUGUGUCAUGGUGGCAUGUUUUUAGGGAAUCUCAGGCGCAUUUGAAAUUCACAAACGGUUGUCUACAAUCAGCAGAGAUAGAAGAGGAAGCGAGACACCCAACUUCCUCAUUUUCUCUUUACAUUACAGUCAAUGUAAAGUGGUGGCAGGGUAUCCUAGUGGUUAGAGCAUUGGACUAGUAACCGGAAGGUUGCAACUUCAAACCCCCAAGCUGACAAGGUACCAAUCUGUCGUUCUGCUCCUGAACAGGCAGUUAACCCACUGUUCCUAGGCCGUCAUUGAAAAUAAGAAUGUGUUCUUAACUGACUUGCCUAGUUAAAUAAAGAUAAAAUAUUUUUUUAAUGAUCUAAGCUGCCCAGACCCAGUUGCUAUUGCAUCGGUGUCUCAGGGAGAACCACCCGAUUAAGCAGACCCGAACUAACCAUUUUGUUCAGUGGUAAACAAUGUUCAUUUCUCCACCAUGCCCCUUCACUGUCAGUGUCAACUAUUGGCCCAGUUGAAAUUCUUUCAAUGUGCAUCCUUCCAGGAAACCCAUGUGGAGACAAUUACCUGUCCAAUCAGUGAGUUUUCAAGGAAGGAUGCACUUUUUAAAGGAAGGUCAAUAUAAUCCUUCUCGUUUGGAAUCUCUAAAGAUAUAAAAAAUUGUUUUGGAAUUUAGUCAAUAAUACACGUCUGUAAACAAAACAUUUGUCCCAUUGCUUUGCAUCAGGGCUCCGCAGUGUUGCAGCGAUCUAAGGUAAUGCAUCUCAGUGCAAGAAGAGUCACUACAGUCCCUGGUUCUAAUCCAGGCUGUAUCACAUCCGGCCAUGAUUGGGAGUCACAUAGUGCGGUGCACAAUUGGCCCAGCAUUGUCCGGGGUAGGUUGUCAUUGUAAAUAAGAAUUUACCAUUUGAAAUCAUGGACACACCUGACCUUUCCCAGAACAGAACAGACCUGGCUCCUACUAAGGUGUCCAUCUUCAUCCCCAGUAUUGGAAGACAGGCUGUCUAUCAAGGUCAUGGCCUUUUUAAUCUUUACACCACAAAACAAAUGUGCCAGCCUCCAACUUGUAUUUAAAAACAGAGUCUAGAUCACAUUCACCAUGUAGUGGACAGAAAUUGGGCCCUACUGUCUAGUCUAGUUUUCAAGCCAAUGAACCACACAUUAGACUGGAUUGUUCUGAAGAAUGUCCUGGAUGCUUGAAUCUGUAUAAUAUUCAUAAGAAGUUUUAGUUCAAAUCUGGCUGAAAUUCAUGAACAAGUAUACUGUACCAUUCUGAUGUUAUAGGCUACCUUACCUGUUCUUGUUCCCACAAACAGCAUUGAUGUUCCCUCAGUGUCUGAUACCUAGUAAAAGGAAACCUCAACUCAAUAAAACUUUAAAAAGUGCAACCCUUGAGGUAAUACACAUUGAGUAUGAUAGAGAAUACUGCUGUAUAAAGUGGGGGUAUUGGGGGAUUAUUAAGAACACAUUACCACGAUUGAAAAAUAGGGAGGGGGGGGUCACACAUUGACGAAGCAGGGUUGAAGAGAGUUUGGGGUUAAAGUAGAGAUGAGACUGGAGGAGAGGAGAGUUCAGAUUGACAGUGUAAAUAUAGAGAAAGCAUAGUUAAUAUUUCCAUGUUUUCAUCAUACAUUCAGUAAGUAAAUGUAAGUGAUAUUAGGAAUUUACUCAGGUCAAUUAUUUUCAAAGAUUUUCAUAUUGAUCAUUUGUUUUUGAAAGGCCAUGCCGCUUACUAAUAGAUUUGACUGUUAAAAGACUCUAAACAAUUUUCAAAACAAGAAUUCAACCAAAAGUGCCGUGUUCAAAUAACCAGACUUGCAUUUUAGGUAAGUGAAAAAAUAAUGUUUUAUGGUAUGUGACAUUGUCUUGCUUUCAAUUCCAGGAUGUUAUACUAAUUACGGCUUUUCAUCUAGUAGAUUUAGAGAAUCGUCUUUCCAGGCCUACGUGUUUGACAACAGUUGAUAAUGAGACGAGGGGAUGAGAUGUACCCAAAUGAACAAAAUGGCAGGAAUCAACACAAUUGUGUAUUAUAUGGCGCAUUCUCAAUAUGGCUUAUAUUGGACGAUGCCUUUUCGUUGCCACAACCUGAAUGCCAAUCACCAAAUGAAAGGACUCCCCUUCAUCUACACUGAUGGAAGUGGAUUUAGCAAAUGACAUCAUUAAGGGAUCAUAGCGUUCACCUGGUCAGACUCAUGGAAAGGGCAGGUGUUCCUAAUGUUUUGUGUUCAGUGUAAACGUUUUUGGUCAUAUUGCCAGAAGAUUCCACCCAAACCCUACUGUUAAGCUGGUUUACACUGAGCUUCCCUGGGGUCAGAACGCAACCAUGGUCACAUAGAGCCCCACAGUGGUGUCAUAAGGUGACUUUUAUCAAUAUAUUUUGUCUCUAUUUACUCUCAGAUUCGAAAAUGCUAAUUAGCGUCACAGUAGACAUCAUGCAAAACUACAAAUCCCUGAAAACUCCUGCUCUCUCGCUGACACCUUUGCUAAGGUAUACACAGGUAUUGUGUACAUUUAAAACUGUCACAAGACAGUUCACAGAAUGAUCCAUUUAAAGACAUUUUGACAUUUAUUCCUUGCUACAUUUAGAUAACAUUAGAUAGUUGGUCCAGAGAUUCUUUACCUUUGCCUCGAUUCGGCAGUCUCAUCCAGAUCAUUAUGGCAUGUGCAGUUCUUAAUGAUAACCCUGCCUAGCUUUCAAAAGCACGCUGGCAGUGGGAUGCAGGGUGGUAUGCUGCUGGCAAAUCAGCUGUAACAUUAAGUUAGUUUUAGACUUGAUUGAUUACACUGACUCAGUUGAUUCCAAGGCUAUUAUUUUAUUCCUUGACAAAAUUCUGAAUACAUUCGUUGUGCACUUUUGGUUUCGGGACUAGCUUUUGUCUCUGUUAUCAUUAUGUUUUAUAAAGAUAUUAAUAGUUCUAUUAUGAUUCAUCGUAACACAUCUAAAAUAUUUCAUAUUCACCGUAGUAGUGUACUCCAGGGUUGCCCUAUUUCAUCAUUCUUAUUAAUGUGCUUGAUUUAUUUGAUAAAGAAGGGAAUAUACUCUCUUAUAGAAAGUUCUCAGAUACAUAUAACUUCCCAAUACAUUAUAAAGAAUUUAAUUCUAUAUGCAAAGCAAUACCUUCAGGACUUACUAAAUUAAAGAAAUCUCAUUUGUGUUUUGGCGAACAGUCAAGAUAGAUGCACAAUAUAUGUUAGAAGGUUUCUCCCUGCUCGAUAAGAAAUGUAAUAACACAUUCAUAAGGUCACUUUUUAACUCCAAGAACAAGAUCUCUCCAAGAGAGAAAUUCUUCUGGAAUGAAUGCAUAUAUUACUGAAAUUAAUAGAAGAAAGCUUGAUUGCUUCCUCACAAAUUUUGUAUAUCAAAUAAAGUAAAAUAAAUUCACUUUAAAAUAUUGCACAAAAUAUACCCUUGCAAUAACUUGUUGUCUAAAUUCAUGUAUUUAGAGGACAUAUGCCUUUUCUGUGAUAAAGAAGGAGAAACUAUUAUACACUUUUUAUGAGUGUGACUCUGUGAAAUUUAUAUUGGAUUGAGUAAAGUAUUUUCAUUUCAUUAAUAAGACCCAUGUAUUUACAAUGAAAGAUGUAAUAUGUUGUUAUUAAAAUGAAAACAAAACCA